GCAUUGGUGGUUCAGUGGUAGAAUUCUUGCUUUCCAAGCAGGAGGCCUGGGUUCAAUUCCCAGCCAAUGUA
rnacentral:tRNA from 2 species